AAAAAGAACCUGAAACCGUGUACGUACAAGCAGUGGGAGCACAGGUUUACCUGUGUGACUGCGUACCUUUUGUAUAAUGGGUCAGCGACUUAUAUUCUGUAGCAAGGUUAACCGUAUAGGGGAGCCGCAGGGAAACCGAGUCUUAACCGGGCGUUAAGUUGCAGGGUAUAGACCCGAAACCCGGUGAUCUAGCCAUGGGCAGGUUGAAGGUUGGGUAACACUAACUGGAGGACCGAACCGACUAAUGUUGAAAAA
rnacentral:rRNA from 1 species